rnacentral:snoRNA from 1 species
CUGCAAUCCUACAGCAUGCUUGCAUUUCCUAUGGGGUAUUCGAACAGUGCUUGAGAGAAUAUGAUUAACUCAGUUUGAGGCAUUGCCCUACUCCAUCCAGAGUAAAAAUUUAUAGAAAUUCCAGACAAUU